AACCCGGUUGGAUAAACUCAAAGAGCAGGUGUCAUUCAUAUUCUGAUGUCCAAGGCUUCUCUAGUCUUGGCGAUGGGCGGCAGAUCAGAAUGUCAGCGGAUAGGUGUGGAAAUUAUCUGCGACUCGGAUGGCACGCAGGAGCUGGGGAGGUUCUACGCGCAAUGCUGACCCCACUGUGGUUGCCCAGUGACUGCGGGCGCUCAGAACCACGCUGCGCCGAGCCCCAGGGCCCGGGCUGUGAGGGCCAGCUCUCCUGCAGGAGGCUGCGGGCCGCGCGCCUGGGACCUGGCCCACGCAGCUCCAGGGAGUUGAACUCAUCUGGUGGAUGUCUAACGUGAUUUGUAUGGAGCAAUGGGAGAAGCAGCAUUUUCACUGGCUACAAAUCAGACUCUUUGCAAUUAGGAUGCAGAUGAUUAGAAAUGGCUACUAGAUCUUUGUAUUGAGAAGGAUUCUGAAGUUUACUCUGGGCUUUCAGAAGAGGAGAAAAAUGGAGUGAGGAAACAAGCUACUAAAUUUGCUCAAAAGGUUUGAUAAUUUGUUUUACAUUUUGGA